UCAAGUUUUGCGACGCAAAUCUUUACUUACUAUCUAGUUUUGAAUGUAUAAUCAUUCACUUGUCUGGUGACAAUGGCAAGGAGGUCACACCUGUUCCCAUGCCGAACACAGAAGUUAAGCUCCUUAGCGCCGAUGGUAGUUGGACUGACGUUCCGCUAGAGUAGGACGUUGCCAGGC
rnacentral:rRNA from 1 species